GUUAUUAUAAAUAUUUCUUUUCCACUAUAAAUUCUUAGAUACAUGAAACGCUAUUACUGCUACUACUAUGACUACUAUGUUUGAAUCGUUCUCCAAAAGAAGUCAUGACUGUGGUAGCUGAUACAGCCUGUUUUCGCAACACCACAAUCAAUUCUGCUAUUCAAAACCUUGGAAGUUGGAAUUUAAGACAGAAGUUUGAAAAACAGUGAUGCCUUUAACUCAAAAAUUGA
rnacentral:misc_RNA from 1 species